UAACCGUAGCGGGCGGAGCGGCCCAAGCGUUUCAAAGUAGCGACACACGGAAAGAAGAAAUAUGAUGGCAGAGUCUACGCUAGAGCUGAAGAGGAUGAACACCUUUGGCCUCACAUACAAAGAAUGUUUCGCUUAAAAGCAGCACAAAAGAACAGCUGUGUCUGCAGUGUCGGUGUCUUCAAUGAGAGCCAAAACAAACCAACUUUUCAACGUGAAACAAAUCAGCUCGUAACCUGAUGAAACGGUCUCCACUUCAUCAGACAUCACCUAGACACAGAGCUGGAUGAGGCCAGCACAAACAGCGGCCUAUUCGAUGAAGAUGAUGGAUCCAUGGGGUCAGGAAAGCCAGAAGCAGAGGAGCUGGAGAGAUACUUUUCACUGUCCAAUCACUGGAGGUGUGGAACUAUUGCAUGGCUUUCCUCAGAUCAAGAAGCUGUCAUGCAGGACUCCUGUUCACUGCCAAACUGUCGCAGCUGAAGCUGAACCACCAUUUCACUGACUGAAGAAACAAUUUGUGGUAAAGUGAGCAAUACACAUAUGUACAUCCACAUAGUGGAAAUUUGUAUUUGUCUUUUAUAAUUAGUUUUACUCUGAUUUCAGUGUUUAUUUGUGAGUGUAGUUUUUACAUUUUUACAUAUUACAUUGUGUUAAUCCACUGUCUAUACUUCAGGGUAUUUUAGUAUACAAAAUAAGUUUUGUUAGAAUGCCUAUUCAUGUGGAAUUUUAGCACAGAUGUUUUUUUUUGUUGUUGUUUUUUUUUAAUUCCUGCUGUCCGCCUUGGGGAUAAACUUUUCCUGAUUAUA